rnacentral:rRNA from 1 species
UGGGGAAUAUUGCACAAUGGGGGAAACCCUGAUGCAGCGACGCCGCGUGAACGAAGAAGGUAUUCGUAUCGUAAAGUUCUGUCCUAUGGGAAGAUAAUGACAGUACCAUAGAAGAAAGCUCCGGCUAAAUACGUGCCAGCAGCCGCGGUAAUACGUAUGGAGCGAGCGUUGUCCGGAAUUAUUGGGCGUAAAGGGUACGCAGGCGGUUUAAUAAGUCGAAUGUUAAAGAUCGGGGCUCAACCCCGCAAAGCAUUGGAAACUGAUAAACCUGAGUAGUGGAGAGGAAAGUGGAAUUCCUAGUGUAGUGGUGAAAUACGUAGAUAUUAGGAGGAAUACCAGUAGCGAAGGCGACUUUCUGGACACAAACUGACGCUGAGGUACGAAAGCGUGGGGAGCAAACAGG